ensembl:lncRNA
GACCUCAGAGGGCUGUAAGUGGGCUUCCCUAAGCCCAGAGUGCCUUGGUUCUGGCCAUCCUGCUUCCACCCCUACCUGAUCACGGAGAAGGGUGCAGCACAGAGAAGCCCCAGAGACCCCAGCUCAGCUGGUGCUCAUAGCUUCUGGGCAGCUCCAGAGUAGAUGGGUGCCUUCUGUACAUAGAGACCAGGGGUGGCAGUCUGCCAUCUGCAACAUUUUGGGCCCCCAUUUCUCACUCUAUUCUGUGUCACCUGGGAUUGGCCAGUGGUGUGAUGGUGGCUUCUGAGUAGCAUGAUAGGUACUAGGUUGGGCAGUAGCGUUGUUCUUGCUGUGGGUGGGAAUAGUGUGGGAUGUGCACCUGGUUGGGUGCAGAGCUGGCUGCCCUGGCUCUGUUUGGGCUGCGUGACAGCCCUGCUUGCAUUUGGUUCAGGAGAGAGAACGGGAUAUGCUACGGACAUGGGACAGAGCAGUGCCCUGAGUACCUGGGCCCGGAUCCAAAGAGAGGUCCGGCAGUGCCCUCGGAGGUCCCUCCCAAAGUUGUUUCUGUGUGGGGCAGAGAAAGCCACACUCUGAAAUAUAUUUCAUGACUCAGGAACUCACAUUCCAAGUUCAGGAAUUUUAUUCCAAAGUCCUUUGGUGCGCUCACUGCCCAUGGGUCCCCAAAGGCAGGGAGAGGGGGCUGUGUGUCUCUGGGAGGCCACACGGUGCAUCCCCUGGAGGGGCCAGGUGUCUCCCUGUGACCUGCCCACUGCACCGCAGAAGGAGACUUUCUAAACCCAUGUCUCUCUGCACAUAGAAAGGGGGAAAAGGACUCUAAACCAAGUCAUCUUGGAAUAAAAGAAGAGCUGGUUUGUUUUAGAGGUGGGAUGGGGGGUGGGGGAGGGAAAGUGGGCGUUUGCUGUUUCCAAAGAGAGCACUUAAUUUAAUUUUUCCUCUAAGUGACCCAGGGCUGUUCCGUCUGAUAGAUGGAAGGGUAACAUUGCCUUAAAACAGAAAUAUGCAGGUGUUGGCUAUUUUUGGCAGAUGAGCACGUCUUCAUUCCCAAAGUAGUUCUGGUCUAAUGGCAGGGUGCGGUCCUUCCAAAGUUGGCCUGGCCUGGGAGAUGGGCCACUAUUCUUCUGAUUUGGGGCACCUGGAGGGAAUUCCUGCCCAGCAUGCCCAGCACUUGGCCUGGGGCACCAGCCAGCAGGCUGUCCUGACUCAUCUGGGGCUAAAAUUUAUCUCACUUAAAGGGUGGGAAAACUCCAUGAAUCUCAGGCUAGGUUCAAGUGGGCUCUUGCUGGCAUCUCAUCAUCAGGGUGUAGGGAGUGCUCCACACAGACAGCCCCUCCCCCGUCCAAAGCCAUUGAUGGAGCUUCUCUGGAAUUGUUUGCCAAAAUCCCAAGGUAGAAUCCAAGGGUCCAAGACCAUUUCCAUCAAGUACACAUUUUCCUUUUCUGUAGGAACGUUUUUUGUUGUUUUUAUAACCAGCACCACAUCAUGCUUCCGAAGACUGCAUUUCAUCUUUCCUGGAUCACUACAGUGAAGUAUUACAGUUGUACAGUUUCCAGUCUGGCCUUGGCUUGCUCGGAUAAAACUUUGUAUGUAUUUUGUAAGGCAUAGAUUCUAUAUUGUAAUGAUGUCCUAUGCAAAAAGAAAAAAAUUAACUAAAAAUUGUAAAUUUUAUUGU